rnacentral:lncRNA from 1 species
UCAAUGACCACGGCGAUUUCGUAACGCCCCCGUUCCGAAAGUGUUCUUCUGGGCAGUGCAACCCCGACGGCGCGGAGCUAUGUAGCCCCUGCGGCGGCGGAGCCGUGACCCCUACUCCCGCCGCGGGCGGGGGCAGAACCCCGUGGCGCUGCAGAGAGGCGCCCUGGAGACAGGGGACACAUGGAAGGAGGCCUCACUACUUCCACUCCUGAGCAGGGGUUAGUCCUGGAGGAGCCCCGGGGCAGGGAAGGUGGACUGGACGCCCGCUCUUCCGCACCUUUACCCUUCCCCUUUCUUCCAGAACUGUCCAGUCUGGCGUCACAACCCCUGUCUCGCCUCCUGGAUGAGCUGGAGGUGCUGGAAGAGCUGAUUGUACUGCUGGACCCUGAGCCUGGGCCAGGUGGGGGUAUGGCCCAUGGCACUACUCGACACCUGGCCGCAAGAUAUGGGCUGCCUGCUGCCUGGUCCACCUUUGCCUAUUCGCUGAGGCCGAGUCGCUCGCCGCUGCGGGCUCUGAUUGAGAUGGUGGUGGCAAGGGAGCCCUCUGCCUCCCUGGGCCAGCUUGGCACACACCUCGCCCAGCUAGGGCGGGCAGAUGCAUUGCGGGUGCUGUCCAAGCUUGGCUCAUCUGGGGUUUGCUGGGCUUAACACCCAAUAAAGAACUUUGCUGACUACU